UACGAAGGGGGCUAGCGUUGUUCGGAUUCAUUGGGCGUAAAGGGCGUGUAGGUGGCGCGCUAAGUCGGGUGUGAAAUUUCGGAGCUUAACUCCGAAACUGCAUUCGAUACUGGCGUGCUUGAGGACUGGAGAGGAGACUGGAAUUCAUGGUGUAGCAGUGAAAUGCGUAGAGAUCAGGAGGAAGACCAGUGGCGAAGGCGGGUCUCUGGACAGUUCCUGACACUGAGACACGAAGGCCAGGGGAGCAAACGGG
rnacentral:rRNA from 1 species